CCUCAUAGCCCCAACACAUCAAUUUUGUGUGAGGAAAUGCUUCAUCACCCCUGCUGAGUGUCUGCACUGGAAACAUGCAACCCCCCUGUGACCAUGAAGACACAAGCCUGCUGCUCCAGCCACUGUUUGAGGGACAGAGUUAUGGAGGUGCUGCAGCAGAUGGGACAGAGUGUCCAUCAGUGGCUGUGCCAAGGAACAGCCCAGCAAAGAGGGAUUGCCUGGUAGUUGCCGUGCUGUGCUUUGGGAAUUUAAUAAAUUUCAUUGAUUGGUUCAUUGUGCCAGGGAUCCUGUUGGAUAUCCAGCAAUACUUUGGGCUCAGUGAUGGGAAGACAGGUCUACUGCAGACAGUCUUCACCUUGUGUUACAUGCUGGCUGCCCCCAUCUUUGGAUACCUUGGAGAUCGCUACAACAGGAAGAUCAUCCUUGGAGCUGGUAUUUUCUUCUGGUCUGGUGUGACCUUGGGGAGCUCGUUCAUCACUCAGUCACAUUACAGGAUAUUUGUUCUUUCACGAGGACUGGUUGGCAUUGGCUCUGCCAGUUACUCCACUAUAGCACCUACCAUCAUUGCAGACCUGUUUGAGGAAGGAAAAAGGACCACAGUGUUAUCUAUCUUCUACAUCUUCAUUCCAGUGGGAAGUGGCUGUGGUUACAUGCUGGCAGCUGGCAUGGCAAAAAGCACAGGUGACUGGCACUGGGCAUUCAGGGUAACUCCUUGCAUGGGAGGACUGGCACUGCUUCUACUGAUUCUACUGGUGCCUCACAGGAUCCAGAGAAAGACAGCAGCCCACAGAGCACUGAGCAUCUCUGGCAUGAUAGGAAGAGCAGAUGAGAAGCCAGAUGUAUACAAAACUACCAGGACUAGUUGGUGCCAAGAUGUGGGGUCACUUGUCAAGAACAUUAGUUUUGUCUGUUCCUCACUGGGUCAGACUGCCAUGGCCUUUGUCACUGGAGCUCUGGGAAUGUGGAUGCCAUUGUUUCUGUACAGAGCUCAGGUUGUCCAGGGCCUUGUGCCACCAUGCCUCCAGGACUCGUGCAAUUCAUCUAACAGCCUAAUAUUUGGAGGCAUCACCAUUGGGACAGGAAUCUUGGGUAUUAUUGCUGGGGCAGAAGCUGCAAGACGUUUAAGGAAGAUAAACAACAAAGCUGAUCCUCUGAUCUGUGCCACAAGCAUGUUCAUUUCUGCCCUGUGCCUCUACAUAGCUCUGAUGGUGGCCCAGACAAACAUCCUUUCCACUUUUAUUUUCAUUGCAUUUGGAGAACUGUUUUUGUCUGUAAACUGGGCUGUUGUGACAGACAUACUGCUGUACGUGGUGGCACCAAGGAGACAAUCCACAGCCAUUGCCCUGCAGAUUUUGGUGAGCCAUUUGCUGGGAGAUGCAGGCAGCCCAUACCUCAUCGGAGCUGAAAGCUGGAAUACUCUGUGCUCCUCCGUGCACCCUCUGCCCUCACCUUGGAUGAUUUAUUUUUACAGAUGUGAUGUUCAAUGGUACCUGCCAAGUCCUGUGUGACACCUGGAUGUUCUGCAGAUUGUUGGUUCUAUGCAGAGAAGUCAGUCUGUGCUUGUCAGAGGAGCUCGCACGGGAUUGGGAAACUUGGUCCGUAUGGGAUGCUAUCCGUAGGGGAGCUGGAGCUGCAGAAGAAACUGGGGCUGAUCCAGGAAAACCUUCCUUGUGUUCCAUGAGGGCAGUGCAUGGCUACACCCAGUGGAACAUUCCCCAUGAAGGUGUGCUCUGCACCUGCUGCUGCCCUCCCAGGCUGAGCACACCAUCCUGGUGGUGUCCUGGGCAUCUGCUCUCAGCCUCCAGGGAGCUGGGAAACAAAAGGUGAGGAAGAAUCACAUGGGAUGAGAGAUUUGGGACUUCUAAUGCAUCUGCUUGCUCACACUGCUCUGCAAGAAACAGCAUUUCCUUUGUCCUGUGAGGUGGUUACAACACUCAAAGCCUUCUCCCCCCCCUUCUCUUGCUUCAUGCUAAUAGGGCUGUGAGCUGUCCCCUGGGGGUGCAGGAAAAUACUUCACAUAUUUUUCCUCAUCACUGCUCUUAUGUUGUAACUCACAGCCCUGGUCUCUCUGAGCUUGGAGCAGCAAGGAGCCCCUUGUAAGUGGCCAGGGAGCACUUGGGAACAGUGUUAUCUGGAUUGCUGAGCAAGGGCUCUGGCUCUUGUAGUAGUGAUGGUAAGCACACUUUUCUGUACUGAGAGUAGUGGUUGCUACUCAGAGGAGUAUUAGGCAUGUGAGAAUGAUUGCACCCACAGCUCAGCCUUAGUGCUGCUCAUUCUCCAUCUGCUCCAUGGAAGAUCUAGGAAAGAUGCCAGGAAAAUAUAGUGGUAAAUAAUGUUUCUAUUGCACCUGCUAUCAGAAACAUGCAAAGUGUUUUGCAAGCUAUGCCAAAGUCCUGCUGCCACUAGGAAACAGGAGCAAGUUCUUGUGCUUUCUUGUAUUGUGCUUUAUGGGAGGUGUGAGGAGAAGACUUAACCCUGGGCAGCAUGGACCUGGUGGAGUCUAGCUCUGUUUCCAGACUUGCAGAAUGAACUCGGUUAUGAGAGAAGCAUAAAAGAUUAGCUGGAUGCCUCACGGCAAUUUGAAGAAUCUGGAAGUGCUACCAGACUGCUCAGUGAGGUAAAAAUGCUGCAAUGACAGAAAUAUUUGUGCUCCUGGGCUUGUUCUACCUCAAACACCCACAGGGCAGGACCUUGCCCCUUCCUCCACAUGCCAGGAUGAUGGCACUCCUCCACUGGGACCCUGGAGCAGCUCAUGGAUCAUUUCCUGAGGGGAUGCUUCAUCCAAAACAUUGUGUGACUCUCCUGCAAUUUCUUUUAUGAAGCAUUCAAAUAUUUUAACUAAAACUCCUAACUAUGACUAUGGUCACAGUCUCCUAACUCCAAACUUUGACUAUGACUUCUCUGCAUAUUUCUUUGCUCCGGCAUAUAAAUCUGUAGCUAUAAAAUGUUUUGUCCUUGCAACAAGUCCCUUGGAAGUUUCUUGCUUUGGUUUGUUCCCAGUGUUUUACCUCCUCACAGAGUCACUGUAGCUAGUUCAUUGUGUUUGUUUGAGGCCUGACACUUGAUGAGUAGAUACAUUCCUUUUGCAGAACACCUGACCUGAAGCUCUUUCCCACUCUCAAGGACCAGAAGGACAAGUCAGGUUGCUGGUAUGCCCUUUCUGAAGGGAUCCCUUCUUUCUGCAUCUACAAACCUAAAUGAUGAUUCUAGGAAGAAGUUAUCCUCUAGUCUUGGAUUUCCUAUGUAAGGAAUUAAAAUGCCACUGGGGUGUCUCCAUAGCCAUUACAUUCAUGGGAACUCCUAUUGGACCCAUUUGUGGCAGGAGCUUUCCUAGUCACUUGCCUUCCAGCUGCCCAGACUCACUGGAGCCCAGCAGAGUAACCCACUGCCCACCGAGACUCAUACUGCGACUGAGGGGAUGCUUGAGCUCUUCUGCAUCACUUUAAAGGUGAUUACAGACAUUGAGUUCCCUUUGGAAAUGCUCAGAGAUAAGCUGGACAUUGUCAGCAUGAGAAAGCUGUACAGGUAUAACCUAUAGAUGUUUGUUUGGAUGUGUAGAUGUUUGACCCUUGAAAGGGACACUACUGAUUUAUUUUUUAAGUGCCUGUGAACAGGAGAGCCUUCCUGUGGGUUUAUCUGUGCAAAGCCUUGCACUCAUCUGGCCUCAUUUUUUGACAUGUUUCCACCAAAAUGGUCAGUCUGAUCUCUUUGAGGGCACUUUGGCUGAGUGCCUAUUGAGUGGAGGAACAAAGGAAGUGAAGCAGCUUGUCCAGGGACAGGAAUGGAAUCUGUCAGAACUGCAUUUAUUUAUCUGGUGUAAUUUUCCCCAAUGCUGUGCCAAAACCACACCUCUCAGGUGAGCUGGUUGGAUGGAGCAGAGCAUUCUUACAGCCUGGAGUCAGCAAGGGUUCUGCCUCCUAUAAAACUAGUUUUUCUCACCCUCUUGCUGAUAGCUGACAAAAGUAAAUCAGCUCCUACCUGUGAGACCCAAACAGGCUGUAAAUCAGCUCUACCAUGUUGGUGUGGCAGGAGAAUGGUUCCAAGUGCUUGGGAAGAAAGCUGCAAUUCAAAUCAGUUACUUAGCAUGUUGUUUUAAUGGCACACUUCUCCAUGGGCUGGAUGCAGAGGGCAGAGCUAUUCCCAUGGUGCUCAGAUGUGAGAAAGUUCAUUUCAUACCACCACCUAUUCCUCAGGGAGUGCAGUCCACCAAAAAUCAGGAAAAACCCAAAUGCUAAAAA